UACGGGGGGAGCAAGCGUUGUUCGGAUUUACUGGGCGUAAAGGGCGCGUAGGCGGCCACCGCAAGUCGAUUAUGAAAUCUCCGGGCUUAACCCGGAAAGGUCAACCGAUACUGCGGGGCUAGAGUGCAGAAGGGGCAACUGGAAUUCUCGGUGUAGCGGUGAAAUGCGUAGAUAUCGAGAGGAACACCUGCGGCGAAGGCGGGUUGCUGGGCUGAUACUGACGCUGAGGCGCGAAAGCCAGGGGAGCGAACGGG
rnacentral:rRNA from 1 species